rnacentral:rRNA from 1 species
AGUGAACGCUGGCGGUAGGCCUAACACAUGCCAGUCGAACGGCAGCACAGUAAGAGCUUGCUCUUACGGGUGGCGAGUGGCGGACGGGUGAGGAAUACAUCGGAAUCUACUUUUUCGUGGGGGAUAACGUAGGGAAACUUACGCUAAUACCGCAUACGACCUACGGGUGAAAGCAGGGGAUCUUCGGACCUUGCGCGAUUGAAUGAGCCGAUGUCGGAUUAGCUAGUUGGCGGGGUAAAGGCCCACCAAGGCGACGAUCCGUAGCUGGUCUGAGAGGAUGAUCAGCCACACUGGAACUGAGACACGGUCCAGACUCCUACGGGAGGCAGCAGUGGGGAAUAUUGGACAAUGGGCGCAAGCCUGAUCCAGCCAUACCGCGUGGGUGAAGAAGGCCUUCGGGUUGUAAGGCCCUUUUGUUGGGAAAGAAAAGCAGCAGGUUAAUACCCCGCUGUUCUGACGGUACCCAAAGAAUAAGCACCGGCUAACUUCGUG